ACGUUGCCGAGGAGGCUGUCUUGGAUAGUCUCCCUCGAAUUGCUACAGAAGAAGAAGAAGAGGCAGCUCGGAGUUCGCAUGACGAUGCGGCCUUCUUCUCUGAGAACGCAGCUGGUUCAUCUACCGGCCACGAAUUCGUCGCUAGUGCUCCUAAGUCAGUUCAUACGAAGACAGGCAAGUCGAACAGCCAAAAUCACAAGAAAGGAAGAAAGACGAAGAGAGAGUCUACCGAUCGAGCUUCCUUACCAGCUGAUAAGUUGAACGGGAUCAGCAACGUGAGUCGAAUAAAUUCAAAGAUCGAGCGUGUGGAAGCAUGGAGGUGAAGCUGCUCUCUCUCUCUCUCUCUCUCUUCUUGCCCCUCUUAAUUU
rnacentral:lncRNA from 1 species